AAACAGUUUAAAUGUUUGUUAGUGUGAUGUUUUGAUUCUGUGGUUCUCUGGAUAUAAACACAUUAUUUACAUUGAUUGAAGCCUAGAUAUAGAUGCAGUUCAAAUCACAAUAACCGUGUCUGUUUCAUCCAAGACGCCCAAAGCAGUCCACAGUUAUGCUAGAACUUAGCUAACUAAGAGGCAAAGUCUUACUAUUAAGAAGCAAUUCAGUUUACUCAAUUACCGAGUAUGCAAAACUGAUUAGAGAAAAAAGCUUGGAAAAAAAAAACCCUAAGCAUGCACCGUCCUCCCGAGUUAAAUAUGCUGGGAUAUAGAUAAAUAGAUUAAAUGCAUAUUGCAGACACAUUAGGGAAACCUGGGGCUGGAGAGAUGACUCUGGCCUCAGUGGCUAAGAGCACUGACUGCUCUUCCUAAGGCUCCAGGUUGAAGUCACGGGAUCCCAAUGGUGGUUCACAGCCAUCUGUAACCCCAGUUCUAGGGUUUCCAGCAUCCUCUUUAGGCUUCUACCUGCACCGGCCACCCACACGACAUACAGGCAAACAUCUAUGCAC
rnacentral:lncRNA from 1 species